CCUAAGAAGAAGGCUUACAAUUGGCAAAGGCAAAAAAUCCGAAUGUUUGUUCUUAUUUCUACGUUCCUGAACUUAAUGUUACAUCUCCAUAUCAAAACAAAAGGGAAACGAAAGCGAAACAAAAAGUAAAACAAGAAAAGAAGUUCUCUAUACACGUCAAACUCACAUUAAUGUCUGAACACACAUCCUGUCCGGCAAUUGGCCGGUUCAUUGACACUCGACGUAGCGAAAAUGGCCGCAUUUAUUUACGUAUCAAGUUCUCGAGUAAAAAAAGUAUGAGAUUAGGUUAUUUUAAAAGAAUGGUUUAUUUGAUAUUUUAUGACAAAUAUGUUAACAUUUUUG